UAGGAGUCCCUGAACAACCUCUGCAGGCAGUAUGAGGAGAAGGUGCAGCCCUGCAUCGACCUCAUCGACUCCCUGCGGGCCCUGGGUGUGGAGCAGGACCUGGCCCUGCCUGCCAUUGCAGUCAUUGGGGACCAGAGCUCAGGGAAGAGCUCUGUGCUGGAAGCACUGUCAGGAGUGGCCCUCCCCAGAGGCAGUGGUAUUGUUACCAGAUGCCCUCUGGUGCUGAAAUUGAAGAAGCUGGAGCAGGGAAAAGAGUGGAGAGGCAAGGUCACCUAUGAUGACUUCGAAAUGGAGCUCUCUGAUCCCUCAGAGGUGGAAGAUACCAUCAAUAAUGGUCAGAACUGGGUUGCUGGGAAAGGGCUGCAGAUCAGUGAUAAGCUCAUUAGCCUGGAUGUCAGCUCCCCGAAUGUCCCAGACCUGACCUUGAUUGAUCU